UUCAGUAGACUGUCGGUAAAGCACGAGGAAGGACACAAAGCGAGGAAGGAAGGCUUGAAAGCAGACGCUUUUAAUAUUUCCAUGUAAACAUAAAAAUAAUGACCGUAGAGAGCCAGACAUUUUGUUCCCAUGGUGCCGUCUCCUGCCUUCAAUUUAAUAGACCACUACUGCAUAGAUCUUCAGUAUCUUCAGUUAUUCUAAAAUGGAAAGGACAAGGUCAUGAUGAUGUUACUAGAAUUUCCUGCCACUGCUAUUUAAAGAGUCUGAAACACUGCACCACAAGAUGCUGUAACCUCCAAAUGUGUGGUGGAUGAAUCUUACCACAAUGGCCAGCUGUGAUUCUACUUGAACAGCUCUAUAGGCAUAGAGCAAUAUGCGUUAGAGUGAAGAGGUGCACCAUAGCAUUAAAUAACCUCCAACUGGAGCUUACCUUCAACUUUCUGGAAUUCAUUUUCCUAACAUCACCACGGCAAUGACCUUCUAGCUGCCAGAAUGGGAACGAGAACAUACCUCAGUGAAAACCAGUUUAAGACAUUUUCAUUCUUCAAGAAUGAGAAUGUUUCUAUUCCAAUGGCUGUAAGCAUGAAAUCACAUUGCCCUGUGCUGUUCAAAGACAUCUUCUAAGAGUUAGUAAACAAGAUGUAUACCUCUAAUUGUGUCUUAGCCAAAAAGUUAACUUGGACCUGCUUUACAGGGAGUCAUUGAUGAUCAACUAGUUAGUAGGACACACUUCACAGAUGGAAUCACUUUACAUUAUCUGGCUGGAGCUGAGACUACCAUCAGGAAAAUCUUCCAUGUAAUAACACUAACCCAGAACAUUGCUGCAGAGUCUGUCACACAGUAAUGCUGACUAGGACAUCGCUAUUUUAUGUUUCCACGCAGUGACACUGACCAAGAAUGUUGCUACUAGUAGUCCACACAGGAAAAACACACAGUAACGCUGGCUUAGGAUGUUGCUACUGAAUCAUCCGUUCAGUUACACACUGACCCUAAAGUGUUGUUUUUCUAUCGUCUGGAAUAUUCAGACAGAAUACAGAAGUUACCUGUCAAUAUUUAAAGCAUAAUAAACUCUUUAUUGUCUUUUAAUAUUAACACUCCUGAUACUGAAGGCUUGGAUCUGCUGAACAUUGGAAAGAAAGCUGAGGUUAACAUUGCCACUCACUGUGUGUGACAUAAAUGCAAAAUUCAUUCAAAUGUGACAGUGAAAGAGAAUUAGAAUUCAGUUAAGUAACAUUUACAUAAUAUUCAUGAGUGGUUGUGAAAACUCACUGAAUGUGACAUUAAAGUUAAGAUGACAGUGAAAGAAAGACAGUUAUACUUACUAGAAAAACUCAUGUUGCGACCAUGUACGAUUAGAUAUUAAAAUCAUGUUUAAAAGUGACAGUAGGUACAGUAAAAUGGUGAUAAUACAUGUUUUGAUUGUUAAGGAGGUAGGUUACCUUGUUACAAGGGUAAAUUCAAAUUAGUUGAACCGCAGCAUUCUUUUGUAUUUCGUGUAAUAUGAAGUUUUAACUGCUA